rnacentral:rRNA from 1 species
CCUACGGGAGGCAGCAGUGGGGAAUUUUGGACAAUGGGCGCAAGCCUGAUCCAGCCAUGCCGCGUGCAGGAUGAAGGCCUUCGGGUUGUAAACUGCUUUUGUACGGAACGAAACGGCCUUUUCUAAUAAAGAGGGCUAAUGACGGUACCGUAAGA